rnacentral:rRNA from 1 species
CCUACGGGAGGCAGCAGUGAGGAAUAUUGGUCAAUGGGCGCGAGCCUGAACCAGCAAAGUCGCGUGAGGGAAGACGGUCCUAUGGAUUGUAAACCUCUUUUGUCGGGGAGCAAAAGAAGCAACGCGUGGCGUUACGAGAGUACCCGAAGAAAAAGCAUGGGCUAACUCAGUGCCAGCAGACGGGGUAAUACGGAGGCUGAGAGAGUUGUCAGGAUUGAUUGGGUUUAAAGGGUGCGAAGGUGGAAGAGCAAGUUAGCGGUAAAAGUGAGAGGCAUAACCUCUGCGUGACGUUGAAACUGGUUUUCUUGAGUGAGCGAGAAGUAUGCGGAAUGCGUGGUGUAGCGGUGAAAUGCAUAGACAUCACGCAGAACUCCGAUUGCGAAGGCAGCAUACCGGCGCUCAACUGACGCUCAUGCACGAAAGUGUGGGUAUCGAACAGGAUUAGAUACCCGUGUAGUC